GGCGAACGGGUGAGUAAUACGUGAGUAACCUGCCCUUGACUCUGGGAUAAGCCUGGGAAACUGGGUCUAAUACUGGAUACUACCUCCUGCCGCAUGGUGGGUGGUGGAAAGGGUUUUACUGGUUUUGGAUGGGCUCACGGCCUAUCAGCUUGUUGGUGGGGUAAUGGCUCACCAAGGCGACGACGGGUAGCCGGCCUGAGAGGGUGACCGGCCACACUGGGACUGAGACACGGCCCAGACUCCUACGGGAGGCAGCAGUGGGGAAUAUUGCACAAUGGGCGGAAGCCUGAUGCAGCGACGCCGCGUGAGGGAUGACGGCCUUCGGGUUGUAAACCUCUUUCAGUAGGGAAGAAGCGCAAGUGACGGUACCUGCAGAAGAAGCGCCGGCUAACUACGUGCCAGCAGCCGCGGUAAUACGUAGGGCGCAAGCGUUGUCCGGAAUUAUUGGGCGUAAGGAGCUCGUAGGCGGUUUGUCGCGUCUGCAGUGAAAGCCCGGGGCUCAACCCCGGGUCUGCAGUGGGUACGGGCAGACUAGAGUGCAGUAGGGGAGGCUGGAAUUCCUGGUGUAGCGGUGAAAUGCGCAGAUAUCAGGAGGAACACCGAUGGCGAAGGCAGGUCUCUGGGCUGUUACUGACGCUGAGGAGCGAAAGCAUGGGGAGCGAACAGGAUUAGAUACCCUGGUAGUCCAUGCCGUAAACGUUGGGCACUAGGUGUGGGGGACAUUCCACGUUUUCCGCGCCGUAGCUAACGCAUUAAGUGCCCCGCCUGGGGAGUACGGCCGCAAGGCUAAAACUCAAAGGAAUUGACGG
rnacentral:rRNA from 1 species